CUUUUCAAUUGUUUGCCUGCUGACCUCCUGAAAGCUGAAAGGAGCAGGCUCCUGGCGGGUGACAUUGUGAUGACAUCAUGAUGGGAAAACACAGGGAUGUGCAUGCUGCGAGGGGAAGUGAAGCCGCCUACUCCCAGGGUUCGAGGCCAUGGAGGGCCAGUGUUGAAGAGGUGUGAAAGACUGGGAUAGACCUGCUUGUCUAACACCAUGCCCAGAUAAUACAUUUACAGCCUGGCUCCCUUCACUUCAAGGAAGACUUGACUCGUCUCCAAGAAAUGGCGGGAUACUGGUCCCACUGGACCUUUGAUGGAAAUUGAUCUUGGCGCAGGCUUUGAGAGACUUGCUAUGUGAUGGCUGCUCAGGGGAAGUGUCAUUUUCACACGUGCUCUCAGUCUGUCGGUAUGAACACAGUGUUUGUCUGUCUGUCCACAUGGUUCACAGGCCUGGGAAAGUGGGAGAGAGUUUGUCUUGUUUCUCACCCUACAAAUUCAUGGGAAGAAAAGGGUCCAGCAAUUCCAAUGAGUUAUUUUCCUUAAGAUUGACAUUAUUAUGUUGUUGAUCGUAGGGCCUUUAGUAAAUGGGCUUGGCAUUUUGUUAUUUGUUAUAUACAUUUUAAAAGUCUGGGCCUCAUUAGCUGGUAUAACAUUGAUUUGGGAAAACCACUCAGGAAAGAAUCUGAUCCAAUGGGAGUUCCUCUGUUCCUUAGUUGGUUGGAAACCUGUUUGUGGUGUCUAAACUGACAGCUUAGCCUCCAGGAUUUUCCAGGGUCCGUCAAAUAUUAUUGCCCGACACCACUGGUAUGUCCGGAAUCCAUAUAUGGGCGCGCCACUUGGCUCCGUCCUCGGCACCCUGUCAUUGUGUCAUACUAAUUAAAUGUGCACUCUGAAAUAAAUGAAGGGAUUCUGUUUCACAGAGGAAAAGUCUACUGUAACAACUUCUUGGAGGACCUCCACCACACACAGGGGAGGUGACAAACUAUCCGCCCUGAACAUUUAAAGCCGGUUCUCACUCUUUUCUCCAGGAACUGCGCUGGUCAGUCUCCACCAGCUGUCCUGCUAGUGUCUGACGGCUGGACUACAGCCUGGUGCAUCCAAGACAAACGUUAGAGAAAAGAAGCACUCCCUUCUACCUCCUCCCAGGGGUUAUGACCUAUGACUCAGAAGAGUGUAGAGUGCGUAACCCAAAACACACCCCGUUGGGUCCAGUCGGGGCCAGCUCCUCAUCUACACGUCAGACCAGGCAAAUGCUGUGUGUGUGUGUGUGAGAGAGAGAGACUUCUUCCACCCAUCAGCCCUGAGACUUGACUCUAAACACCCAGCGUAAUGAUUCAUACGUGAAAGCAUGUACUGCAUUGUAACACAGAGCACAAACACAGAGGCUCUGGUCCGUGUGGAAUAAGUGCUGCAUCCAGGCCUCAAACACACAUACUUUUGUUUGAUUAUGUGGACAAUCCAUUAAAAAAAAAGUUUUAUUUCAAAUCAACUAGAUGGAACGAGACGCUGUAUGAAUUGCACAUCAAACCAUUAUCAAAGAAAAUAUGUUCUAUAUUUCCAAAAAGCUUCUGUUAAUCAGUCAGGAAAAAAUGAUGAGAUUCAGCUACCACAUUGACUGAUUGCAUUUGCUAAAGUGAAAGCAGACCAACUCAAACAAUGAGCGGCCAUAGUGCAGUGCAGCAGUCUCAGAGACACUUGUCUUCAUACAAAGAGUAAAACCAAUACGGUUGAAGUUAUGUCCGAGUAACAGUGUCUACCUAACGAGUGGCUCCAUUCUCAGGGGUGACACACGUGCUCUGGCUCUUUCAUGUGUGAGUAACCAUAGUGCCUAUACCUCGUCAAAAAGCUAGCCAGAAUGAGUUCCAUGAGUGUCUAUCGUAUCAUGACAGCAUAUGAAUCACCAACCAGAGGCACUUCUUUGAUGUCAAACUUUCAAUAAAGGUUGAGGGGGGUUAGUCGUAUCAGAGGAACAGUCGGAUUUAUGUCACACUGCCUCAGGUUUUUUUCACCCCUGAACAGUACAUUUGAAUUACUUAGCGAAGGACUGGGACUACAGAGAAAACAUUGACCAAAAGAUGGAACAUUCUGAGAAGACAAUUGAGUUGUAAAAGGAACAACCUCAUUCUGCAUGUAGUCUACAGGUGUUUAAUGUAUUCCGUUGUUAUCCUGAAGAAUUUGCACAAUCGUCACAUUCAUGUCAUGCUCCCAUGUGAAAGUUUUGCUGAUGCGUCCUUAGAGCAGAAUUGUCUGACAAUGAGUUUACCCCAACAUUUAUUGGCUUUUGUUUUUAAGUGAGAUCUGUCAUUUUCACUGCUUGGUUCAUUUUAACUGAGAGCCUAUCGGACUCAACAGCAGUCAUUGCAAAUAAAAUACAAUUCGCUGUG